GACGAACGCUGGCGGCGUGCCUAAUACAUGCAAGUCGAACGCAGUGGGGACGGGUGAGUAACACGUGGGUAACCUCCCAUCAGAGGGGAUAACACUUGGAAACAGGUGCUAAACUGAUACUGAUGGAUGGAUCCGCGGUGCAUUAGCUAGGUGGUGAGGGAACGGACCACCAAGGCCACGAUGCAUAGCCGGCCUGGGAGGGUGAUCGGCCACACUGGGACGUAGCCACGGCCCAGACGCCUACGGGAGGCAGCAGGAGGGAAUCUUCGGCAAUGGACGGAAGUCUGACCGAGCAACGCCGCGUGAGUGAAGAAGGUUUUCGGAUCGUAAGCUCUGUUGUUAGAGAAGCGGUAACUAACCAGAAAGGGACGGCUAACUACGUGCCAGCCGCCGCGGUAAUAC
rnacentral:rRNA from 1 species